GUUCCCAUCGAUUAGUGGUCAGAUCAUCACGUUGUGGGUGCAGCCUUUGGUUGCCCAAAACCGUGGAGACGGGGGCUCGACUCCCCCUGGGAACA